CAAUAGCGUAUAUUAACGUUGUUGCAGUUAAAAAGCUCGUAGUUGGAUUUCUGGUUGAAGCGACCGGUCGGGCGUUGAUUCGUCUGCACUGGAGUCGGUUUUGGCCAUCCUCUAGGAAAGUGCGUCUGGUAUUAAGUUAUCGGGCGUAUGAUCCUGGUCUUUUACUGUGAAAAAAUUAGAGUGUUUAAAGCAGGCCUUCGCCUUGAAUACAUUAGCAUGGAAUAAUAAGAUAGGACUUUGGUCUAUUUUGUUGGUUUGCAGACCGAAGUAAUGAUUAAUAGGGAUAGUUGGGGGUAUUUAUAUUCCGAUGUCAGAGGUGAAAUUCUUAGAUUUUCGGAAGAUAAACUUAUGCGAAAGCAUUUACCAAGGAUGUUUNCAUUA
rnacentral:rRNA from 1 species